rnacentral:lncRNA from 1 species
ACUCCAGCCCACCGCGUCCGAGAGACUUAGCAGGGCGUCAAACUGGAGAGCGGAAGGAUGGAACCUUUUAUUCUCAGUCUGCAGGUGUACCCAGCAGCUCCGAAGAGACAGCGACCAUCGAGAACAAGCCAUGAUGAUGAUGGUGGUUUGUCGAAAAGGAAAUGGGGAAAUGUGGGGAAAAGAGAGAUCAGACUGUUACUGUGUCUGUGUAGA